UAUCCUUUUUUUUAGUAUUGAUUGGUAUUGCAUACCAUUUUUGGAUGUUGACAUAUUUAUGUGUAAUAGAGGGGCAAGGUAGAAUCGCUCGGGGUUUUGUUGUUACAUAACAAAAAUUAGGGCUGUUUGGUGUUGAGAUGUCGUUUUGUCCUUUAUCUGUGUGAUGUGUGUUUUAUUAGAAAAUUAUAAUUUUUUGUUGUGUUGUUGGGGUUUAAGAUUUUGUAGUGUUCCUUGUUUUGUGUUUUAUAACGUUUUCUUUUUUGUGUUUUGUUUGUUUUUUUAUUAUUAAUUUAUUAAUAAUUUGAUACUUUAGGAUUUAGUAAUUUUUUAAAUUUUGUUUUUUGUUAUAAUUUUUCUUUGUGAACUUGAAUUUUGAUCAAAUGUUUUUUAAAGACUUAGGUCUCUUUAUGUGGCUGGCCUCUGCUCUAUGUUUUUAUAAAUGGCAGUCUUAGCGUGAGGACAUUAAGGUAGCAAAAUAAUUUGUGUUUUUAAUGGGCUCUAGUAUGAAUGGGGUUAGUGGUUGAUUAUUUUCUUGUGUUUUUAUGAAGUAGGUUUUUGUUUAAGAAAUAAUAUUUGUGGUUAUACAAAGAUAAGUCUUCGGAAGUUUUUUUCCUGAUUUUUUUGUAAUUUUUUUGGGAUGUUUUCUAGGGUAGAAGUUUUUAUAAUUUUUUUUACUAUGUAUAAGGUAUAAAACUACUUCGGAGUUAACAGAAAUUCAUGUCUUUGCCAGUUCUUAUGGCAGUGAUAAGUUUUACAUCGAUGUUGUAUUUUAGUUGUUCAGGAUAGGAGAUGGUUUGAUUUUUGAGACUGUUCUUCUUUUAGUAAACUAAACGUGAUAUUAGUUUAAUUCAUCGUGAGAUAGAAUUGUUUAUCUUGUUAAUCUCUUGUUUUGGUGGCGGAUAGUACGAAAGGAAGUUUGUUGGGGUUUUUAACCUUGUUAGGGGCUGGGCCUCUG
rnacentral:rRNA from 1 species